rnacentral:rRNA from 1 species
UACGUAGGGUGCGAGCGUUAAUCGGAAUUAUUGGGCGUAAAGAGCUCGUAGGCGGUUCGGCAAGUCGGAUGUGAAAUCUCCACGCUCAACGUGGAGGGGCCAUUCGAAACUGCCGUGACUCGAGUCCGGUAGGGGAGUGUGGAAUUCCCGGUGUAGCGGUGAAAUGCGCAGAUAUCGGGAGGAACACCAGUAGCGAAGGCGGCUCACUGGCCCGUAACUGACGCUCAUGCACGACAGCGUGGGGAUCAAACAGG